AUUAUGUGGUGUGCUGAGAAUCAAGGAGCCACAAACAGUACAGCCUGGUGCCACUGGAUGGAGUGGCUCAGGAGUAAAAGGUGAGAAUAAGAAGACAAUGGGGGAGGGGGGGGUGGCAAGGAAAGAAGGGAACUUGUUAAUAGUGGCAUCCCUUCCCCACACUGCCAGGUACUUGAAAGUUGAACUUUUCUAUAUUUGGAGGGGAAGGGAGCACAAUGAAGAGAGAUGGGCAUUGUGUGGAGAAAGGAGAUAAAAUCAUGAAGCCUGGAGCUGGCUUCCUCAGAAGAAACUGAGCAAACAUAUGGCAGUCAUCAGAAACCACUAAUGUUGAUACUUUCAGUUUACCUAAGAGUAAGGGGUAUGGGUAACAGAUAUUUAGUGCUUGAUUUCCCUGUAAUAUAAGUCUUGAACAAGUAUAAUUUGAAUAACUUGACUAAGUCUCAAAGACCCUCACAGACAGGAAUAAAAGACCACAGUACAUAGUAGAUGUUUGGAAUCUUAGAGCACAAACAAUGUCAAAACAAAUGUUUAGUAUUGAUAGACAAAAAUGCCAGGUGGGAAUCUUGAACUAAUAGGAGCAACUGGCCAUGCCUCACUCCCAAAAUCUGGAGUUGCUUCCCCACCUUCUGUAUAGUCCUUUGUCUUCUGGAGAAAGGCAGAAGACAUAAACAUCUUUGAUAGAUCACAGUGAAUCUCAUGUCCUGACCACUUUUCCUUUUCCUGGCAUUUUAUCACAGUGGAAGGAGGAAGGCUUAGAUAACAUCUCUGCCACUUACUGUCUAAUCUUGGGCAAGUCUCAACCUCUUUGAGCUUCUCUUUCCCCCUAGAUUAGAGAACAUGUAUCUGAAAGUAUUUUAUAAAUCAAAUCACUAAACAGAUAUUUGCUUUUUUAUUUAGCUUCUAAUUUGCCUUCCUUUCCCUGGGUGCUAAUAUGGUUAAUGUCUUGUCUGCUAGUCCUGAUCUCUCUAAGCAUUAGAGAAUUGUCUUAAUAGUCAGCAGGAGUACUAUUUCCUUACCAAGUCUUGGUGAAUUUGACCCCUACUGGUAGUAUCCAAGGAAGAAGAGGUAGUCUGUAGGCCAAUAAAAUUCUUAACUAGCUAUUUAGUAGCAAUUGCUUACAGCUUAGUAGUGUUUUACAGUUUAUAAAAUGUAUUUAUUUCCUUAUGUUUUCCUACAACAGUGGUUUUCAAACAGUGGUUUUUUGACCAGUUAGGGGGUUUUAUAAUGAAUGGGUCAUGCCCAGCAUUACUUUAAAAUGAAAUAAGAGAAAAUAAUGAAGCACAUGGAGAAUAGUAAAGGUAAGCACUCCUUUAUGGAACUUUUAUGUGUGUGUGUAUGUGUGUGUGUAUGUGUAUGUGUGUGUGUGUGUUUAUGCUUCAUUUUAGAAAAAUGGACUUAUUCUAGGUUGCACUGAAAACAAACAUAGAACACUGCCCUAUAAGCAUCAUAUAUUAAAUAUUAUGAUCAUCCUUAUUUUACAAAUUUAGCUACAAAAUUCACUGCUACCUUUAUCAAAUCCUAGCACCAUCACUUCCUCAGGGUAAUAAUUAAGUUUGCUCAUGGAAGAAACUAUGUCCUGUGCUUCUGGGUUUUACUACACUGAAGGAAAACUUCCAUUCUUCUUCUAGAACUUUCUGGAGAAGAUUUUGAAAUUAAAAUUUUAAUGGAAAGCUAACUUAAGAAAAAAUAAAUUAUUCCUUUACUGAGGAGACCAAAUGAUUCUUCAAACCAGAGAAAUUCCUUAUAUAGCAUAUCAGUAAACAUAAACAAACAUCAAAACUAAAAGAAACAAAUUAAGAUAACCCCUUUCUUAAAUAAUAGGAUAUUGAAAAAUAAAUACUAGAGGUAUAGCUCAGUGGUAGAGUGCUUGCCCAGCAUGCACAAGAGUCUGAAUUCCAUACCCAGAAAAAAAAAAAUGUACAGUAAAAGUACACUUUUAUUUCAAACAUAC